AGGCUGCUGGUGCUGUCCUUUAUCCCACACAGCCAGUUCCCCCUCCUCUCUGCUGUCUUCCGGACUGCAGCUUAGGUCCUGAUGGUUAUGAACAAAUGUGGACAGGCAACUAACAUUCCAAAAGAAAAAGUGAAGGUUUGAUACCCAUUCUGUGGUAAAAGCAGAUGCAGAGGGAAGGGGCCAUAUCUGAGAAGUGCAGCACUAGCUUUGCAUGUAGGAACUACUCCUGAAAGAUUGGGAAUCUUCAGAACAGCAUUCAGUGCAACAUGAGGAGCUGAACUGAAAAAAAAAAUUGCAUAUAUAUAAUCUUGUGUAAGUAUAGCUGUUCUUUGGAUCCCAG